GACGUAGGGUGCAAGCGUUGUCCGGAAUUAUUGGGCGUAAAGAGUUCGUAGGUGGUUUGCCAAGUCUGACGUUAAAGCCCGAAGCUCAACUUCGGUAUGGCAUCGGAAACUGGCAGGCUAGAGUCUGGUAGAGGCAAGGGGAAUUCCCGGUGUAGCGGUGAAAUGCGUAGAUAUCGUAAGGAAGACCAGUGGCGAAGGCGGGUCUCUGGACAGUUCCUGACGCUGAGGCACGAAGGUCAGGGGAGCAAACGGG
rnacentral:rRNA from 1 species